rnacentral:rRNA from 1 species
GACGUAGGGCGCGAGCGUUGUCCGGAUUCAUUGGGCGUAAAGGGUGCGUAGGCGGCGCGGUAAGUCGGGUGUGAAAUCUUGGAGCUUAACUCCGAAACUGCAUUCGAUACUGCCGUGCUUGAGGACUGGAGAGGAGACUGGAAUUUACGGUGUAGCGGUGAAAUGCGUAGAUAUCGUAAGGAAGACCAGUGGCGAAGGCGGGUCUCUGGACAGUUCCUGACGCUGAGGCACGAAGGUCGGGGAGCAAACGGG